rnacentral:rRNA from 1 species
UACGUAGGGUGCGAGCGUUGUCCGGAAUUACUGGGCGUAAAGAGCUCGUAGGUGGUUUUGUCGCGUUGUCCGUGAAAAACUCACAACUCAAUUGUGGGCGUGCGGGCGAUACGGGCAGACUGGAGUACUGCAGGGGAGACUGGAAUUCCUGGUGUAGCGGUGGAAUGCGCAGAUAUCAGGAGAACACCCGGUGGCUAAGGCGGGCUCUG